rnacentral:tRNA from 1 species
GGUUAUAUAGCUCAGCGGUAGAGUAUGUGCUUAGCAAGCACAAGGUCCAGAGUUCAAUCCCCAGGACCC